rnacentral:rRNA from 1 species
UACGUAGGGGGCAAGCGUUGUCCGGAUUUAUUGGGCGUAAAGAGCGUGUAGGCGGCUAGGUAGGUCCGUUGUGAAAACUCGAGGCUCAACCUCGAGACGUCGAUGGAAACCAUCUAGCUAGAGUCCGGAAGAGGAGAGUGGAAUUCCUGGUGUAGCGGUGAAAUGCGCAGAUAUCAGGAAGAACACCCGUGGCGAAGGCGGCUCUCUGGUACGUGACUGACGCUGAGACGCGAAAAGCGUGGGGAGCAAACAGG